rnacentral:rRNA from 1 species
GAUGAACGCUGGCGGCGUGCUUAACACAUGCAAGUCGAACGGACGGAAUGGAGCUUGCUCCAUGAAGUUAGUGGCGGACGGGUGAGUAACGCGUGGGUAACCUGCCCUAUGCAGGGGGAUAACGUUUGGAAACGAACGCUAAUACCGCAUAACCUAGUUGGUUCGCAUGAACUGACUAGCAAAGAUUUUAUCGGCAUAGGAUGGACCCGCGUUGGAUUAGCUAGUUGGUGAGAUAACAGCCCACCAAGGCGACGAUCCAUAGCCGGCCUGAGAGGGUGAACGGCCACACUGGGACUGAGACACGGCCCAGACUCCUACGGGAGGCAGCAGUGGGGAAUAUUGCACAAUGGGCGCAAGCCUGAUGCAGCGACGCCGCGUGAAGGAUGAAGGUUUUCGGAUCGUAAACUUCUAUCAGCAGGGAGGAACCAAAUGACGGUACCUGACUAAGAAGCCCCGGCUAGCUACGUGCCAGCAGCCGCCGUAAUAC